AGCGAACGCUGGCGGCGUGCCUAACACAUGCAAGUCGAACGUGAAAAGGGAAACCUGAGUAAAGUGGCGUACGGGUGAGUAACGCGUAGGUAAUCUACCCCAGAAUCUGGAAUAACCUGCCGAAAGGCGGGCUAAUACUGGAUAGAGCGAGGGAACUCGUAAGAGAGUUUUUCGGGAAAGGGAGCCCGCAAGGGCCUUCGUUCUGGGAUGAGCCUGCGUCUCAUUAGCUAGUUGGUAAGGUAACGGCUUACCAAGGCGAUGAUGAGUAGCUGGUCUGAGAGGAUGAUCAGCCACACUGGAACUGAAACACGGUCCAGACUCCUACGGGAGGCAGCAGUGGGGAAUCUUGCGCAAUGGACGAAAGUCUGACGCAGCCACGCCGCGUGAGUGAAGAAGGCCUUCGGGUUGUAAAGCUCUGUCGGAUGGGACGAACAUCUUCAUAGUGAAUAACUAUGAGGACUGACGGUACCAUCAAAGGAAGCACCGGCUAACUCCGUG
rnacentral:rRNA from 1 species